CCCUUAGAGUUUGAUCCUGGCUCAGAUUGAACGCUGGCGGCAGGCCUAACACAUGCAAGUCGAGCGGAUGAAAGGAGCUUGCUCCUGGAUUCAGCGGCGGACGGGUGAGUAAUGCCUAGGAAUCUGCCUGGUAGUGGGGGACAACGUUUCGAAAGGAACGCUAAUACCGCAUACGUCCUACGGGAGAAAGCAGGGGACCUUCGGGCCUUGCGCUAUCAGAUGAGCCUAGGUCGGAUUAGCUAGUUGGUGAGGUAAUGGCUCACCAAGGCGACGAUCCGUAACUGGUCUGAGAGGAUGAUCAGUCACACUGGAACUGAGACACGGUCCAGACUCCUACGGGAGGCAGCAGUGGGGAAUAUUGGACAAUGGGCGAAAGCCUGAUCCAGCCAUGCCGCGUGUGUGAAGAAGGUCUUCGGAUUGUAAAGCACUUUAAGUUGGGAGGAAGGGUUGUAGAUUAAUACUCUGCAAUUUUGACGUUACCGACAGAAUAAGCACCGGCUAACUCUGUGCCAGCAGCCGCGGUAAUACAGAGGGUGCAAGCGUUAAUCGGAAUUACUGGGCGUAAAGCGCGCGUAGGUGGUUUGUUAAGUUGGAUGUGAAAUCCCCGGGCUCAACCUGGGAACUGCAUCCAAAACUGGCAAGCUAGAGUAUGGUA
rnacentral:rRNA from 1 species